AGAGUUUUUUCCUGGCUCAGGACGAACGCUGGCGGCGUGCCUAACACAUGCAAGUCGAACGGGACUUGCCCCUUCGGGGACAAGUUUAGUGGCGGACGGGUGAGUAACGCGUGAGCAACCUACCUUUCAGUGGGGGACAACAGUUGGAAACGACUGCUAAUACCGCAUAACACUUAUUUAGGGCAUCUUAAAUAAGUCAAAGAUUUAUUGCUGGAAGAUGGGCUCGCGUCUGAUUAGCUAGUUGGUGGGGUAACGGCCCACCAAGGCGACGAUCAGUAGCCGGACUGAGAGGUUGAACGGCCACAUUGGGACUGAGAUACGGCCCAGACUCCUACGGGAGGCAGCAGUGGGGAAUAUUGCACAAUGGGGGAAACCCUGAUGCAGCAACGCCGCGUGAGUGAAGAAGUAUUUCGGUAUGUAAAGCUCUAUCAGCAGGAAAGAAAAUGACGGUACCUGGCUAAGAAGCCCCGGCUAACUACGUGCCAGCAGCCGCGGUAAUACGUAGGGGGCAAGCGUUAUCCGGAUUUACUGGGUGUAAAGGGAGCGUAGACGGUUUUGCAAGUCUGAAGUGAAAGCCCGGGGCUUAACCCCGGGACUGCUUUGGAAACUGUAGGACUAGAGUGCAGGAGAGGUAAGUGGAAUUCCUAGUGUAGCGGUGAAAUGCGUAGAUAUUAGGAGGAACACCAGCGGCGAAGGCGGCUUACUGGACUGUAACUGACGUUGAGGCUCGAAAGCGUGGGGAGCAAACAGAAUUAGAUACCCUGGUAGUCCACGCCGUAAACGAUGAUUACUAGGUGUUGGUGGGUAUGACCCAUCGGUGCCGCAGCAAACGCAAUAAGUAAUCCACCUGGGGAGUACGUUCGCAAGAAUGAAACUCAAAGGAAUUGACGGGGACCCGCACAAGCGGUGGAGCAUGUGGUUUAAUUCGAUGAUACGCGAGGAACCUUACCCGGGCUCAAACGACGGGGGACUACCGGUGAAAGCCGGUAUCCAGCAAUGGCCGCCGUCGAGGUGCUGCAUGGUUGUCGUCAGCUCGUGCCGUGAGGUGUCGGCUUAAGUGCCAUAACGAGCGCAACCCCUAUCGACAGUUACUAACAAGUAGUGUUGAGGACUCUGUCGAGACUGCCAGCGCAAGCUGCGAGGAAGGCGGGGAUGACGUCAAAUCAGCACGGCCCUUACGUCCGGGGCGACACACGUGUUACAAUGGCAGGAACAGAAGGCAGCAACAUAGCAAUAUGAAGCCAAUCCCCAAACCCUGCCUCAGUUCGGAUUGGAGUCUGCAACCCGACUCCAUGAAGCUGGAUUCGCUAGUAAUCGCGCAUCAGCCACGGCGCGGUGAAUACGUUCCCGGGCCUUGCACACACCGCCCGUCA
rnacentral:rRNA from 1 species